rnacentral:rRNA from 1 species
CUACGUAGGUGACAAGCGUUAUCCGGAUUUACUGGGCGUAAAGGGCGUGUAGGCGAUCUUGCAAGUCAGAAGUGAAAUUCCUGAGCUCAACUCGGGCGCUGCCCUUGAAACUGAUAGACUUGAAUAUGAGAGGGGCUGAUAGAAUUCCUGGUGUAGCGGUAAAAUGCGUAGAUAUCAGGAGGAAUACCGGUGGCGAAGGCGGUCAUCUGGCUCAUUAUUGACGCUGAAGCACGAAAGCGUAGGUAGCGAACAGGAUUAGAUACCCUGGUAGUCUACGCUGUAAACGAUGUAUGCUUGGUGUUAUGCGUUUAUGCGCGUAGUGCCGUAGGAAAUCUGGUAAGCAUACCACCUGGGGAGUACGAAUGCAAGUUUGAAACUCAAAGGAAUUGACGGGG